rfam:Trichobilharzia regenti genome assembly, scaffold: TRE_scaffold0056069
AUACUGAUGAUGAGUUCCAGACUAGGACGAAACAUCUGUCCAGUAC